GGGGCCAGUAGUCAUAUGCUUG
rnacentral:misc_RNA from 1 species